rnacentral:rRNA from 1 species
GAUGAACGCUGGCGGCGUGCCUAAUACAUGCAAGUCGAGCGAAUGGAUUAAGAGCUUGCUCUUAUGAAGUUAGCGGCGGACGGGUGAGUAACACGUGGGUAACCUGCCCAUAAGACUGGGAUAAUUCCGGGAAACCGGGGCUAAUACCGGAUAACAUUUUGAACCGCAUGGUUCGAAAUUAAAAGGCGGCUUCGGCUGUCACUUAUGGAUGGACCCGCGUCGCAUUAGCUAGUUGGUGCGGUAACGGCUCACCAAGGCAACGAUGCGUAGCCGACCUGAGAGGGUGAUCGGCCACACUGGGACUGAGACACGGCCCAGACUCCUACGGGAGGCAGCAGUAGGGAAUCUUCCGCAAUGGACGAAAGUCUGACGGAGCAACGCCGCGUGAGUGAUGAAGGCUUUCGGGUCGUAAAACUCUGUUGUUAGGGAAGAACAAGUGCUAGUUGAAUAAGCUGGCACCUUGACGGUACCUAACCAGAAAGCCACGGCUAACUACGUGCCAGCAGCCGCCGUAA